AGCUCUGUAAGCGUAUACCAAAGUUGUUGCAGUUAAAACGCUCGUAGUCGGAACUUGGCCGUUCCGGGUGUGUGCACGUCGUGUGCGCGCAUUGCGGGGAUGGCUUUUGUGGUCUUGGUGCUUGGAUGAGGCACGUUUAUUCGUGAACGUCCUAUGCGCUGCCACUUUUUACUGUGAGAAAAUCAGAGUGCUCAAAGCAGGCGUUUGCCGUGAAUGUAUUAGCAUGGAAUAAUAGAAUAGGACUUGGUUCUAUUUUGUUGGUUGUUGUUGGGACUGAGUAAUGAUUAAGAGGGACAGUUGGGGGCAUUUGUAUUUCGGCGCUAGAGGUGAAAUUCUUAGAUUGCCGAAAGACACACUGCUGCGAAAGCGUCUGCCAAGGAUGUUUUCA
rnacentral:rRNA from 1 species